rnacentral:lncRNA from 1 species
GCUGCUGAUCUGGAAAGAGUUUUGGUGCAACCUUUGCAAAGGUUAGCCACACGGACAUUCCAGCGGCAAGAACGGCCAGGGCAUUGUCAAAGUCUCGAAUAUUUUCAUCACUUUUACUCCAAGAACGUAGCUAUAAGAACUUUUUUUUUUUUACGAAACAGCCGCAUCGAACUAUUUAUUGCCAAUAGAAGGGUUGAGAGAAUCAAUCCAAGAGAGUACAAUUAAGAAACACUGGAAAUAAACACGAGAGAGGGGGAGACUCAAGGAACAAAAAAGACAAGAGACUCAAGGAACAUCAUCAGCUCCCGAGGUCAGCUCGCCAAUCCUAGCCCCCGCACGCUUCCAUAAGGUGGCCUCCUCCUUGAUCAAGGCGAGCACAGCAGCAGGGGGAUUAAGCUUAUGUUGAAAAACACGCCGGUUUCUUUCCUUGCACAUCUCCCACAAGGUGAGC